rnacentral:lncRNA from 1 species
AAUAUGUAUUACAUGAGCAUGGCAGCCAAUCAAUAAGUAUUUGAACUAAAUUAAAUUUGUAGCUGGAUUGCUUGGCGCAAAGCAUUAAGGCUUUGGGGCUGAAAGACAAAAUUUAUUCCAGUUGUAACUAGCAACCGAGUGCCCCAGUUUUCACAAAUACUUGAAUGAAGAAACCAGCCUGGUUAACAUAGCGAGACCUUGUCUCUACAAAAAAUAAAAAAAUUAGCCAGGCGCAGUGGUGCACCUGUAGUCCUAGCUACUCAGGAGGCUGGGGACGCUGGGGUAGAAGGAUGUACUCAGAUUUAGUACAAUUUUGUAGAAUUUUUGAGACAAGGUCUCGCUGUGUUGCCCAGGCUAGUGUUGAACUCCUGAGCUCAAGCGAUCCUCCUGCCUUGGCCUCUCAAAGUGCUGGGAUUAUAGGUGUGAACCACCACACUGGGCCUGUUUUCUGAAUUAAUUAUUUUUAUUUAAAGGACUACACGAAGGCCAAUUUCUCUGGAGUUUAUCUCUUAAGAAACAGUAUAUUUGCAAAAUGCUUAGUUUUAGGAAUUUAUACACAUUUCCCCCAUUUUGACUUAAAUUUUGACUAUUUAGGAAACAUUAGAAUUCUUACUCUGUACCAGGCACUGUUCAAUGCACUUUACAUAAUAAUCUUUACAAUAACCCCAUGGGAUAGAUAGUAUUAUUCUCAUUUUACCAUUGGCAGGAGGGGGAGGAGUAGGCCCGGAGAAAUUAAAUUGUGUGCUUCAGGUUUCACAGCCAGGAGUUGGAAGAGCAGGAAGUCCAACUGGCAUCUGCUUUCAGGGUCCACGCUUCACCACCGCAUGGCACUCCCCUUCCCUUUC